AGGGAACUGCGGACGAUCAUUACCGAGUGUAGGGUUCCUAGCGAGCCCAACCUCCCACCCGUGUUUACUGUACCUUAGUUGCUUCGGCGGGCCCGCCAUUCAUGGCCGCCGGGGGCUCUCAGCCCCGGGCCCGCGCCCGCCGGAGACACCACGAACUCUGUCUGAUCUAGUGAAGUCUGAGUUGAUUGUAUCGCAAUCAGUUAAAACUUUCAACAAUGGAUCUCUUGGUUCCGCAUCGAUGAAGAACGCAGCGAAAUGCGAUAACUAGUGUGAAUUGCAGAAUUCCGUGAAUCACGAGUCUUUGAACGCACAUUGCGCCCCCUGGUAUUCCGGGGGGCAUGCCUGUCCGAGUCAUUGCUGCCCAUCAAGCACGGCUUGUGUGUUGGGUCGUCGUCCCCUCUCCGGGGGGCGGGCCCCAAAGGCAGCGGCGGCACCGCGUCCGAUCCUCGAGCGUAUGGGGCUUGUCACCCGCUCUGUAGGCCCGGCCGGCGCUUGCCGAACGCAAAUCAAUCUUUUUCCAGGUGACCUCGGAUCAGGUACGAUGC
rnacentral:rRNA from 1 species